AAUCUCAAUCCCCUCGGGUUUUAGGACCCGGGUCGGACUUGGACAUGGGCGUCUGCCGGUUAAACGGCUCGCCUCAAAUGACUUAGUGGAUCUCUCAGCAUCCGUGACAGACGUAAUAAGUUUCGUCUUGUCCCUUGCAGAUGAGUCCGCUCACAACCUGCCAUCGCGCACUUUUAGA
rnacentral:misc_RNA from 1 species